GAUGAACGCUGGCGGCGUGCCUAAUACAUGCAAGUCGAGCGAACAGACGAGGAGCUUGCUCCUCUGACGUUAGCGGCGGACGGGUGAGUAACACGUGGAUAACCUACCUAUAAGACUUGGAUAACUUCGGGAAACCGGAGCUAAUACCGGAUAAUAUAUUGAACCGCAUGGUUCAAUAGUGAAAGACGGUUUUGCUGUCACUUAUAGAUGGAUCCGCGCCGCAUUAGCUAGUUGGUAAGGUAACGGCUUACCAAGGCAACGAUGCGUAGCCGACCUGAGAGGGUGAUCGGCCACACUGGAACUGAGACACGGUCCAGACUCCUACGGGAGGCAGAAGUAGGGAAUCUUCCGCAAUGGGCGAAAGCCUGAAGGAGCAACGCAGCGUGAGUGAUGAAGGUCUUCGGAUCGUAAAACUCUGUUAUUAGGGAAGAACAAAUGUGUAAGUAACUAUGCACGUCGUGACGGUACCUAAUCAGAAAGCCACGGCUAACUACGUG
rnacentral:rRNA from 1 species